rnacentral:rRNA from 1 species
UACGGAGGGUGCAAACGUUGCUCGGAAUCAUUGGGCGUAAAGCGCACGUAGGCGGUUCGCUAUGUCGGAUGUGAAAGCCCUUGGCUUAACCGAGGAAGUGCAUCCGAAACUGGGGGACUUGAGUGCAGAAGAGGAAAGCGGAAUUCCACGUGUAGCGGUGAAAUGCGUAGAGAUGUGGAGGAACACCAGUGGCGAAGGCGGCUUUCUGGUCUGUAACUGACGCUGAGGCGCGAAAGCGUGGGGAGCAAACAGG